GACAGAGGGUGCAAACGUUGUUCGGAUUUACUGGGCGUAAAGGGCGCGUAGGCGGUCAGCACAAGUCAGUUGUGAAAUCUCCGGGCUUAACUCGGAAAGGUCAACUGAUACUGUGCGACUAGAGUGCGGAAGGGGCAACUGGAAUUCUCGGUGUAGCGGUGAAAUGCGUAGAUAUUGGGAGGAACACCGGUGGCGAAGGCGGCUAUCUGGACCGGUACUGACGCUGAGACGCGAAAGCCAGGGGAGCAAACGGG
rnacentral:rRNA from 1 species